UCAAGAUACAAAGAGCUCUAAUAUACUAUAGCAUGAAAAAUUGUAACCAUUUAUAUAACAUAUCAGCCAUAUUUAAGGAGUGUCAGGGCUGUCAGGAGUGCCAGGGAUGUCAGGAGUGUCAGGGUUGUCAGGACUGUCAGUGAUGUCAGGAGUGUCAGGGUUGUCAGGACUGUCAGGGAUGUCAGGGAUGUCAGGAGUGCCAGGGAUGUCAGGAGUGUCAGGGUUGUCAGGACUGUCAGUGAUGUCAGGGCUGUCAGGAGUGCCAGGGAUAUCAGGAGUGUCAGGGUUGUCAGGAGUGUCAGGGUUGUCAGGACUGUCAGGGAUGUCAGGGAUGUCAGGAGUGUCAGGGUUGUCAGUGAUGUCAGGGUUGUCAGGACUGUCAGUGAUGUCAGGGUUGUCAGUGAUGUCAGGGUUGUCAGGGAUGUCAGGAGUGUCAGGGUUGUCAGGAGUGUCAGUGAUGUCAGUGAUGUCAGGGAUGUCAGGAGUGUCAGGGAUGUCAGGACUGUCAGGGUUGUCAGGACUGUCAGGGUUGUCAGUGAUGUCAGGAGUGUCAGGGAUGUCAGGGAUGUCAGGACUGUCAGGGUUGUCAGUGAUGUCAGUGAUGUCAGGGUUGUCAGUGAUGUCAGGGUUGUCAGUGAUGUCAGGAGUGUCAGUGAUGUCAGGAGUGUCAGGGAUGUCAGGAGUGUCAGGGAUGUCAGGGUUGUCAGUGAUGUCAGGAUUGUCAGGGUUGUCAGUGAUGUCAGGAGUGUCAGUGAUGUCAGGAGUGUCAGGGAUGUCAGGAGUGUCGGGGUUGUCAGUGAUGUCAGGGUUGUCAGUGAUGUCAGUGAUGUCAGGAGUGUCAGGGUUGUCAGGGAUGUCAGGAGUGUCAGGGAUGUCAAGAGUGUCAAGGAUGUCAGGGUUGUCAGGAUUGUCAGUGAUGUCAGGAGUGUCAGGGAUGUCAGGGAUGUCAGUGAUGUCAGGGUUGUCAGUGAUGUCAGGGUUGUCAGUGAUGUCAGGAGUGUCAGUGAUGUCAGGGUUGUCAGGAGUGUCAGGGAUGUCAGGGUUGUCAGGGAUGUCAGGACUGUCAGGGUUGUCAGGGUUGUCAGUGAUGUCAGGAGUGUCAGGGAUGUCAGGAGUGUCAGGGAUGUCAGGAGUGUCAGGGAUGUCAGGGGUGUCAGGGAUGUCAGGGUUGUCAGGACUGUCAGGGUUGUCAGUGAUAUCAGUGAUGUCAGGAGUGUCAGGAGUGUCAGGGAUGUCAGGAGUGUCAGGGAUGUCAGGAGUGUCAGGACUGUCAGCGUUGUCAGGGAUGUCAGGUGAUCACUAAUUGCCAGGGUUGUUAGGACUUGUCGGGAAAAAGAAUAAAUAAAAUAAAAGUAUGAUGACAAGUGAGAUGAAGACAUG